UGAAGGACGUGAUAAGCUGCGAUAAGCAUUGGGUAGGUGCAAAUAACCUUUGAUCCAGUGAUUUCCGAAUGGGACAACCCGGCUGUCUGAAGGACAGUCAUUACCAUCUUUUUGGUAAGGCGAACGCAGGGAACUGAAACAUCUUAGUACCUGCAGGAAGAGAAAAUAAUUCAAUGAUUCCCCCAGUAGUGGCGAGCGACCGGGGAACAGCCCAAACCCAUCCCGUAGCAAUGCGGGUUGGGG
rnacentral:rRNA from 1 species